CGGCCUCCGCACUGUGCAUCUGACGGGACCACAUGCCUGGAGGACGGUGACCGUGUGGUAGGCAGGGAGCUGGGUUCUCUGUGGCUCAAGCCUGGCUCCUGUCUGGGGACGCCGUCCGAGGCCUGGUGGAGUGUUUCCAAAGCCUCCAGCAUCACCUGGUCUCCCAGAUGAAACCUGAGGGUCGGACUCUCCAUGUGAGUCCCUUGAAGCAGAAAGGAAGACACAGGACCUAUGACCAUGCCUUGGUGCACACGGGCCUUCUCAAUGCUUUUAGGAUCAAGGCUACCAUCUUCCAGCUGUACCCAGUACUCAGCAAGUGACAUGACAGAGCUCGUGGUUGAGCUCCUCCUCCUCCUGCCCUCAUCUUUGGCAUCACCGGAGAACACAGAGGGGAUGCGGGUUCGAUCCCUGGUCGGGGAACUAAGAUCCCACAUGCCUCGGGGCAACUAAGUCUGCGCGCCACAACUACUGAGCUUGUGCGCCUCAAUGAGAGAGCCCACGCGCUGCAAACUACAGAGCCCACGCACCCUGGAGCCUGCACUACACAACUAGAGAGAGAAAAACCCGCAUGCCACAGCUAAAGAGAAGCCCGUGUGCUGCAACGAAAGAACCCGCAGGCCUCAACCAAGAUCCCGCGUGCCUCAACUAAGACCUGACGCAGCCAAAUAAAUAAACAGAUAUUUAAAAAAAAAAAA